CCUACGGGCGGCUGCAGUGGGGAAUAUUGGACAAUGGGCGAAAGCCUGAUCCAGCCAUGCCGCGUGUGUGAAGAAGGCCUUCGGGUUGUAAAGCACUUUCAGUGGGGAAGAAAGCCUUGGGGCUAAUACCCUCGAGGAAGGACAUCACCCACAGAAGAAGCACCGGCUAACUCCGUGCCAGCAGCCGCGGUAAUACGGAGGGUGCGAGCGUUAAUCGGAAUUACUGGGCGUAAGGCGCGCGUAGGCGGUCUGAUAAGCCGGUUGUGAAAGCCCCGGGCUCAACCUGGGAACGGCAUCCGGAACUGUCAGGCUAGAGUGCAGGAGAGGAAGGUAGAAUUCCCGGUGUAGCGGUGAAAUGCGUAGAGAUCGGGAGGAAUACCAGUGGCGAAGGCGGCCUUCUGGACUGACACUGACGCUGAGGUGCGAAAGCGUGGGUAGCAAACAGGAUUAGAUACCCUAGUAGUC
rnacentral:rRNA from 1 species